ACGUAGGUGGCGAGCGUUGUCCGGAUUUACUGGGCGUAAAGGGCUUGUAGGCGGUCCGUUAAGUCUGGUGUGAAAUCUCCCGGCUCAACCGGGAGGGGUCAUCGGAUACUGGCGGACUAGAGGGGGGUAGAGGAAAGCAGAAUUCCCGGUGUAGCGGUGAAAUGCGUAGAUAUCGGGAGGAAUACCAGUGGCGAAGGCGGCUUUCUGGGCCUACCCUGACGUUGAGGAGCGAAAGCGUGGGGAGCAAACAGGA
rnacentral:rRNA from 1 species